rnacentral:rRNA from 1 species
GACGAACGCUGGCGGCGUGCUUAACACAUGCAAGUCGAACGGAAAGGCUCCAGCUUGCUGGAGUACUCGAGUGGCGAACGGGUGAGUAACACGUGGGUAAUCUGCCCUGCACUCUGGGAUAAGCCUGGGAAACUGGGUCUAAUACUGGAUAUGACCUUUCUCCUUAUGGGGUUUGGUGGAAAGUUUCUCGGUGUAGGAUGAGGCUGCGGCCUAUCAGCUUGUUGGUGGGGUGAUGGCCUACCAAGGCGACGACGGGUAGCCGGCCUGAGAGGGUGAUCGGCCACAUAGGCACUGGGAUGCGGCCCAGACGGCUACGGGCGGCAGGAGUGGGGAAUAUAGCACGAUGGGCGGAGGCAUGAUGCAGCGACGCCGCGUGGGGGAAGACGGCCUUCGGGUUGUAAAACUCUUUCAAGAGGGACGAAGCGUAAGUGACGGUACCUGCAGAAGAAGCACCGGCUAACUAUGU